GACGAACGCUGGCGGCGUGCUUAACACAUGCAAGUCGAACGGAAAGGCCCUGCUUUUGUGGGGUGCUCGAGUGGCGAACGGGUGAGUAACACGUGAGUAACCUGCCCUUGACUUUGGGAUAACUUCAGGAAACUGGGGCUAAUACCGGAUAGGAACUCCUGCUGCAGGGUGGGGGUUGGAAAGUUUCGGCGGUUGGGGAUGGACUCGCGGCUUAUCAGCUUGUUGGUGGGGUAGUGGCUUACCAAGGCUUUGACGGGUAGCCGGCCUGAGAGGGUGACCGGCCACAUUGGGACUGAGAUACGGCCCAGACUCCUACGGGAGGCAGCAGUGGGGAAUAUUGCACAAUGGGCGGAAGCCUGAUGCAGCAACGCCGCGUGCGGGAUGACGGCCUUCGGGUUGUAAACCGCUUUCGCCUGUGACGAAGCGUGAGUGACGGUAAUGGGUAAAGAAGCACCGGCUAACUACGUG
rnacentral:rRNA from 1 species